CAAAUUUUGAUCUGAAAUCAGGUAGGAUUACCCGCUGAACUUAAGCAUAUCAAUAAGCGGAGGAAAAGAAACUAACAAGGAUUCCCUCAGUAACGGCGAGUGAAGCGGGAAGAGCUCAAAUUUAAAAUCUGGUUUGCUUGCAAGCCCGAGUUGUAGUCUGAAGAAACGUUUUCCAUAAGCACUGAGGCAAAAGUCCCUUGGAACAGGGCAUCAUAGAGGGUGAGAAUCCCGUCCAUGGUCUCAAGUUGUUUAUUUUGUGAUACGUUUUCAAAGAGUCAGGUUGUUUGGGAAUGCAGCCUAAAAUGGGUGGUAAAUUUCAUCUAAAGCUAAAUAUUGGCGAGAGACCGAUAGCGAACAAGUACCGUGAGGGAAAGAUGAAAAGAACUUUGAAAAGAGAGUUAAACAGUACGUGAAAUUGUUGAAAGGGAACCGUUUGAAGCCAGUCUUACUUGCCUGUGAUCAAUUUUUGCYUCGGCAUGAAUGCACUCUCGGGUAUGGUAGGCCAACGACAGUUUGGAAUGCGAGAAAAAAAUAAGGGAAAUGUGGCCUUCGGGUGUUAUAGUCCCUUAUAAAAUAUCGUGUUCUGGACUGAGGAUCGCAGCAAAAAYGUGGGCAGGUGGAUUUCUGUGGUAACUGUCGRUUAGGACAACUUGUUGACCUAGUCUUCCUUAGCCUCACUAUUUACCUCGCUUCUAAUUUGCUUAGGUCGUUGGCAUAAUGGCUUUAAAUGACCCGUCUUGAAACACGGACCAAGGAGUCUAACAUAUAUGCGAGUAUUUGGGUGGCAAACCCAUAUGCGCAAUGAAAGUGAAAUUAGGUGCCAAACCUUCACGGGUGGCAGCAUCGGCCGGCUCUGACGUUUUAACUGACGAGUCUGAGCAGAAGCAUACAUGUUGGGACCCGAAAGAUGGUGAACUAUGCCUGAAUAGGGUGAAGCCAGAGGAAACUCUGGUGGAGGCUCGUAGCGAUUCUGACGUGCAAAUCGAUCGUCAAAUUUGGGUAUAGGGGCGAAAGACUAAUCGAACC
rnacentral:rRNA from 1 species